rnacentral:rRNA from 1 species
AUUGAACGCUGGCGGCAGGCCUAACACAUGCAAGUCGAGCGGAUGAAGGGAGCUUGCUCCUGGAUUCAGCGGCGGACGGGUGAGUAAUGCCUAGGAGUCUGCCUGGUAGUGGGGGAUAACGUCCGGAAACGGGCGCUAAUACCGCAUACGUCCUGAGGGAGAAAGAGGGGGAUCUUCGGACCUCACGCUAUCAGAUGAGCCUAGGUCGGAUUAGCUAGUUGGUGGGGUAAAGGCCUACCAAGGCGACGAUCCGUAACUGGUCUGAGAGGAUGAUCAGUCACACUGGAACUUGGACACGGUCCAGACUCCUACGGGAGGCAGCCGUGGGGAAUAUUGGACAAUGGGCGAAAGCCUUAUCCAGCCAUGCCGCGUGUGUGAAGAAGGUCUUCGGAUUGUAAAGCACUUUAUGUUGGGAGGAAGGGCAGUAAGUUGAUACCUUGCUGUUUUGACGUUACCAACAGAAUAAGCACCGGCUAACUUCGUG